rnacentral:rRNA from 1 species
UACGGAGGGGGCUAGCGUUGUUCGGAAUUACUGGGCGUAAAGGGCGCGUAGGCGGUUUACCAAGUCAGGCGUGAAAGGCCUGGGCUCAACCCGGGAACUGCGCUUGAUACUUGUAGACUUGUGUCCGGGAGAGGAUGGCGGAAUUCCCAGUGUAGAGGUGAAAUUCGUAGAUAUUGGGAAGAACACCGGUGGCGAAGGCGGCCAUCUGGACCGGAACUGACGCUGAGGCGCGAAAGCGUGGGGAGCAAACAGG